GACGGAAGGUGCAAGCGUUGCUCGGAAUCACUGGGCGUAAAGGGUGCGUAGGCGGCUUCUUAAGUCUGGUGUGAAAGCCCAGGGCUCAGCUCUGGAAGUGCACUAGAAACUGGGAAGCUUGAGUACCGGAGGGGAGAGUGGAAUUCCUGGUGUAGCGGUGAAAUGCGUAGAUAUCAGGAGGAACACCGGUGGCGAAGGCGCUCAUCUGGCCCAAUACUGACGCUGAGGCGCGAAAGCUAGGGGAGCAAACGGG
rnacentral:rRNA from 1 species